rnacentral:rRNA from 1 species
UACGUAGGUGGCAAGCGUUGUCCGGAUUUAUUGGGCGUAAAGCGAGCGCAGGCGGUUUCUUAAGUCUGAUGUGAAAGCCCCCGGCUCAACCGGGGAGGGUCAUUGGAAACUGGGAAACUUGAGUGCAGAAGAGGAGAGUGGAAUUCCAUGUGUAGCGGUGAAAUGCGUAGAUAUAUGGAGGAACACCAGUGGCGAAGGCGGCUCUCUGGUCUGUAACUGACGCUGAGGCUCGAAAGCGUGGGGAGCAAACAGGAUUAGAUACCCUGGUAGUCCACGCCGUAAACGAUGAGUGCUAAGUGUUGGAGGGUUUCCGCCCUUCAGUGCUGCAGCUAACGCAUUAAGCACUCCACCUGGGGAGUACGCCGGCAACGGUGAA